AGUGAACGCUGGCGGCAGGCCUAACACAUGCAAGUCGAGCGGCAGCGGGUCCCCGCGAGGGGGAUGCCGGCGAGCGGCGGACGGGUGAGGAACACAUCGGAAUCUGCCUGGUUGUGGGGGAUAACGUAGGGAAACUUACGCUAAUACCGCAUGCGACCCUGAGUCGACGGACUGGGGGUGAAAGUGAGGGACCUUCGGGCCUCACGCGACCAGAUGAGCCGAUGUCGGAUUAGCUAGUUGGCGGGGUAACGGCCCGCCAAGGCGACGAUCCGUAGCUGGUCUGAGAGGAUGAUCAGCCACAC
rnacentral:rRNA from 1 species